UUUGGGCCUACAUCUCCGCUAAAAGGAAACCGACUCCCAAUCUUUUCCUUCUUUUCCUUGUGAACCAUGAGAAUAUUAAGGAGCAGUAAGCUCUUUUCUUUUUUUUUCUUACCAAUAAAACACCUCUUUAUUCAUUGGAGAUGAUUGUUACUCGACUUUUAGUGCAAAUUUGCACUAAAACCAUGACAAGUAUUUAGGAACAGAGGGAGUACAUCAUUAAGCAGAAGAAGUGCCAAUGUGCAAUACUAGGAGGUGGUUCAUGCAGCCACACUCCCGGUGUCUCAAUCCAUUCGGAGUGAUCUACAUUUUUUUUUCAACUAAGAGUUAUUAACAGUAUUCCUAAAAACCGUAACUUUGUGUACCAACAUAUUGUUAGUAAGAUAAAUGCAUGUUACACAUGAUCUCGAAUUUCCAUUCACCAAAAUCUAUAAUUUCACAAAGAUUAGUUAUUAACGUAUAUAUUAAUGCUAAGAAGAUUGCAGUGCACGUGACCUUAAAAAUCCUUCUACUAUUAUAACUUGGCAUAAACCAGAGCUGUGAGUGCAAACAACCAAUCCACUA
rnacentral:lncRNA from 1 species